UACGUAGGUGGCAAGCGUUGUGCGGAAUUACUGGGUGUAAAGGGCGUGUAGGCGGGACUGGAAGUCAGAUGUGAAAUUUCCAGGCUCAACCUGGGGGCUGCAUCUGAAACUGUGGUUCUUGAGUGCUGGAGAGGAAAGCGGAAUUCCUAGUGUAGCGGUGAAAUGCGUAGAUAUUAGGAGGAACACCAGUGGCGAAGGCGGCUUUCUGGACAGUAACUGACGCUGAGGCGCGAAAGCGUGGGGAGCAAACAGG
rnacentral:rRNA from 1 species